UACGUAGGUGGCGAGCGUUAUUCGGAUUUAUUGGGCGUAAAGGGUCCGCAGGGGGUCUCUUAAGUCUGAUGUGAAAGCCCACGGCUCAACCGUGGAAUGGCAUUGGAAACUGGGAGGCUUGAGGGCCGGAGAGGAAAGCGGAAUUCCAGGUGUAGCGGUGGAAUGCGUAGAUAUCUGGAGGAACAUCAAUGGCGAAGGCAGCUUUCUGGCCGGUACCUGACCCUCAUGGACGAAAGCCGGGGGAG
rnacentral:rRNA from 1 species